UAUAAAAAUAGAUUUUAAAAGCAUGACCAAAUAACUAAAAUUAACCAAACAGCACGUAGAUACUAAAUAUGUGCUCUAUUCAUUCUAGAAUGAAAUCUUUCCUAUUUGUGGUACCUUUGAAAUGUCUCACAAAACACGGUGCUUCUUACAACACAACCAAGUAUUUUGGAUUAUUUAUACAAACAAGAAACCGCUCAAGGCAGGCAAGUGACAGUGGGCAUUUCUAACUCCUGUGUGCAGUCAUCAGCAUAUAUUGAAGGCAGUGCUGAAUAGUAGUCAAUAACUGUAAAGGCUUUGGAAUGUUAAUAUCCCAGUUUGAAUCUGCAUUCUAUCACGGUUUUGCUGUGUGAUUUGAGCAAAUGACAACCUGAGCCUCAGUUUUCUUACCUCAAUUAAUUCUCACAAUAACUCUAAGCAGUGGGUAUCUUAAGGAUACCUAAAUUUAUGGAAAUUAAAUAGCUUGCCCAAAUUCUUGCAGCUAACAGAGCAUAUGUAAAUCCAGAUCUCAUGCUGGAGAUUAUAACUUUAUUUUCUUCUUUGUGUGCAAUAGCUAUUUAAUCCACAGUCUAUUGCAUUUUCAAAAACAAACCAUGUUAUUGCAAUUCCUAUUGAAAAAGUCCCUGUCCUCCCUUGUUGAAAGUUAAUGGAUCUCCCCUAAACAGAACUCAUCUCUUCACUCCAAUUACUAUUUAUAACUGAAGCUUCUCCUGAAGAUAGUAGUUCCAGGAACACAAACUACAGCAUACACAGUUUGGAGUUGCUAGAUGGGAGAUACACCCAGGAACACACAAUGUCACGGGCAUCUGCUGUAGGUUGAGUAGCAGCUAUCUUACAGCUGUAGGAAACCUAACUCUGACAGCAGGGAAGCAUUUGCAAAUUUCAAACUAGCAACCUUUAAAUGUGACUAUCUGGGGCAUUUCCCACUUAUCCUGCUGUGUCAUUUACUUGAGUUCUUAUUUAGUGCCAGACCUUAUGCUGUUAACACAUGCUCUUAAUGACAGUCAUUUACUUUCUGACACAUUUCAGUUUCUCGACAUUAAUAAUGUGCAGAUAAUGUGAGAUAGAAAAAGCAUAGUGAAAUUAGACGGAAAAUGGGUUUGAAUCCGAACUUAAUUCUUCAUGAAGUGUAUAAAGAUGAACAAAUUGUCAAUAGAUUCUGAGUCUCAUUCAUCACUUGUAAAUGAGAAAAAUUACUACCUUGUAGAAUUGCUGUGAGGAUUACUGAUAAUGUAUAUAACAUGCACACAACAGAUAGCAUUCAGUAAAUGGCAGCUAGUAUUAAAUAGAAAUGUAAAAUGUCCCUUGAACAGCAUCUUCUUGGGAUCAUCUGGCAAAGUUUAAAUCAGAAUCCAGAACAAGAUGCUUAAUUAUCAGUAGCAGAGUUCGCGUAGAGGACACGCUACAAAGGAACAGCAUGUGCAAAGGCACAGAGAAGUCUGCUAUGGAAUUGCCUGUAGCUCAGUACAGGUAAAUAAAGUGUAAGUGGAGAAAUGUUACGGGUCGAGACUAAAGAGCCUGAAAUGCAGGUGGAGACCUGCUUUACAGUAUUACAGAACCAAGUGCCUCAUAUGCUUUGCACAAGUCAGGGCUUCAAGAGAGAGGGAAACGAUGAACUAAAUAUAGUAAGUUUAGUACUUUCAAAAAGUAUAUGAAUAUAUGUAUUGCAAUGUUCUGUAACGGACAAAUGAUUUCGAAUGCAGACAAGGAGAACUGAGGCAAAACUAACAGGCAGCAGCGACUGCCCGCUCAUAGCUGCCAGAGAUACUAUCCUGCAGGUUUUUUUCAGAGGUAAGAACAGGAAAGACGAGAGAACACGAGAAAACCAGCAAUUAAACGGCAAGCAAAGGAAUAACCACCAGUAAGUAAGGAAAACCAGCAGAAGGAAAGAGUGGUCAGAAGCUGGUGGAGGACAAGGUCCUGGGGCAGUUUCUAGGCUAAGCAGAGUCGUGUGAAACGCUGGGCAGGAGACACGGGCGGGAAGGCAUCCACGGCUCAUUCAACCUGGCACUUCGGCAGAGCAAUGAGUGAUCCAACCAAGAUUUAUGUAGAAGGAUGCUAAUUGCAACAAUAAGUGUUACAUUUAAAAGAGAAAAACUGGAAACAACUCUAGGAUCCAACAAUGGAGAAAAUGGUUAAAUAAUGCAUUAUUCCAGUUGGAGAUAUAAAGCAGAGAACCAUCAUUCUCAAAACUGUUCUGAGAGUCAGCAUGUCACCUCUUUCACUCCUCAAGCCUUCAGAAUUCCAAUGCUAAACAUUUCUCUGGCAUCUAAGGAACAAAACGUUCAGGAUAGAAAGGCUGUGAUACUACCCUGCUAGUAUCAAUCCACAUGCACCAGGUCCUGCUGAAGUGUUAAAUAGGUUGAUACAGGGAUGGAAUAAAACAAUAAAGUGUCUGAGAGAACUUCUGAGGAAAUAAUACUGUGCACCGCUUCUAGGGAAGGUGGCCCCUAGCUCUGCAUGACUAACAGCAGCCAUCACAGACACCAUGGCACAAGCAGCCCAAAUACUCAGGGAGACCCCACAUUGAGUGAGUUGUAUUUUAAUGCCCCUUCAGGAGAAACAAAUAUGCCUGUACCUAUUUUGAUACUGAAUAACAAAUUUGUUCCAUGGAAAUGUCCUAUUACUCAUUGAAGCCAGGUACU
rnacentral:lncRNA from 1 species